rnacentral:lncRNA from 1 species
AGGAUGUUUGCAAUUGCUGGUUUCGUUGCAAGAAAAUUGCAAAAUGAUCUUGUCCUCGAUGGAUAUCAAGUACCAAAUGGAACUAUCAUUUUCGGAAGCCAGUUCGAAUCCGGAAAAAAUGCGGAGGCUUUCCCCAACCCGGACCAGUUCAAGCCAGAACGCUGGCUUCGCGGGAGUAAAGGCGACGAGGGAUUGAGCGUGAAGAACCAGCCACUUCAUCACUUUUUCGUAGGAUCUCGGAAAUGCAUCGGCAGUAGGAUCGCUCAGCAGGAGGUCUUUGUUCUCCUGUCGAGGCUGUUUCAACGUUACAACGUUAGCUACAAGUACAAGCCAUGGGAUCCUGUCUUCAAGACCAUCUUGUUCCCAGACCAGCCACCGAAAUUCACUGUCACUGAGCGCUAGUGGCAUGUUAUGACAGUAGUUGAAGGAAUGUUUCAUGUUCCAUGCGAGCAUCAAAUUAUGUAGAAAAUGAACUCACACACACACACACACACACACACACACACACACACACACACACACACACACACACACACACACACACACACACACACACACACACACAUACACAUACACACAUACACGCACACUCAUACACAUGUAUAGACACAAAGACACCCUUUGAUUUGCGCUGAGCAUAUGUAUCUAAGAGUGACCGAUUGUGGAAAUAUAUGACGCAAUAUCAAAGAUUUAUAAAAA